CCUUGACACUCAAAAUCCGCCCCUCCUUCAUGUGUUCACUGAAAUGUUCCCUCAAAACCUCGUCUGUUGUCUUGAAGUUUAGGUUCUUGACAAACAAGGACCGAGCCUGAAGUAUGAUAGCUUAAUCAAAUGAUAGAAGAGUAAUAAUUAUGGAUUAUUUAGCAAUGGUUAAUGUACAAAAUAUCAAAAUAAAUAUUGACUGAAUUGCAUAGUAAUCUGUGGAGGACAAAAUUAGAGUGGUGGCAAACAAUUUCCCUAAAGGCAAGGCCAGAGAAUGAAUAUGUCCAUGGGAUAAACGUCCUUCAAAUUGACAAUCAAUACAGAAAAUGAUAUUUCACUUCAAAGUUCUGUUCUUAUUGACAUAUAAAUUAUUGAAUGAAUAACAAAGAGAUGAAGGCCAUAACAAUAAAUUAUUGAGAAGUUCAGAGACCCGAUUUAUAACAUUUUUAGUUGAGGAAUCUAUAUUAAAAUUUGGAGUUCAGCGAUCAAUAGAAUAAUUCAACCUAAUAAGUAAAAUGAAUUUAUCAUUUUUUUAUUGUCAGUUUUAUUGCAUAUACAACUUGUCCUAUGCAUUUAUAUUUUAUUUUUAUCCAUUGACCUCACAUUUCUCUCUUUUCUAUUUUACAUCAAUUCUUGCAAAAGACUAAUGCAUCAAAACAAACUAAACCAAACACAACUAGAGCAAAAGAAUGGUAAAAAUAGGCCAAACCUCUAUUCUGUCUGGAUCAAUAUCAGCAUCUGAUAUUCUUUCCACGUCUUUCUCUAAUAUCCCCCUCUUGACAUCCUUUUCACCAAUUACAAUAUUCACCUCAUCAUUUAUAGAUGUUAAUUUUGGGGUAAGAAUAUCGGAAGGAGCCCACUCCAAGUAUAACGGAGCAUCCCUACAUUGAAUAGAGCACAAAUCAAGUCAAUAACCAUCAAUAAAUAAAAUAUGGGAUCCCUAUUGUUAGCUUAGUGGAGGGGGAUGAAAUUGUGGUUGUGCAACAUCUCAAAGUGUCAAUCCUUCCCAACUAACAAAAUCCAAGCUUUAGUCCAAUCACUGCGGAAAUAAGAUUAAAACUACGAAGUUAUGGGCAUAGUUCUGGAUUAUUGUACACUCUAACGCCACCCCCCACACACUUCCCUUUUGGGUGUAAGACACAUAUUUUUGACAAAACUAUUCUUUCAAUUUUAUCCUUUAUCUUUUUCAAAUAACACAGGAGAGCCAGAGCACAUUAACUUUUGCACAAUACAAACCAGCAUCAUACAUAUUGCAAUUUGCAAGGAAAAUGUUCUCUCUUUCUUUCCUAUGAAGAUCGACUCGUAUUCAACAGAGGAAGAAACAAUAAAUUCAUUCAGUGAAGAUAACAUAAAUGACUGAUUGUCUAUUCAUAGAAGCUAAUAAAAUAUUGCUUAUCACUUAACAAUGUUGCAUGGAACUAGUGACCAAAAGAAACAAAAGAUCUUACUUGUAACGCUUGUAAGCUAAACCUCUAAAAGCAGCUUUAGCUUCUGCUGGUUCGAGAAAAAUAACCUGAAAUAUCAUCUCUAAAUAAUUCAAAGCUUGAACAAGAAGAAUUUAGUGUUUACCUAUUCAUUAAACAAUGAACAAAUAACAAUAAAAGCAAUAACUUUCAAGAUGCCUCCCUGCUGAAGACAAGCUCCACCAAUCAAUUAAAACAAAUAUGCAACAAAAUGCCUAUAAGUAUAAUAAAGUUCCCAUAAUACAUAUAUUAGAAAGAGUUAGGAUCCAUUGAAACCAAGUGUAGAUCAAAAGGCUUAUACCAAAUAUCAUCCAUUCAAUUUGAUUGAUCCAAUGAAUCAUAUAUUCCAUCUAUGCAAAAUAAAAAAUAAAAUAAAACUCUUAAGUGAAGCAUGCGUGCAAUUUCAUUUUUUUUUUCUCCCCGACACAAUAUACUGAUUGAACUAAUGCACAAUGUUCAGCGCUGCUCAGAGUUGCAGAAGCCAACGUUGGGGUCAUACCACUUCUCCCGUAAUGAUCAGGCUUUAGAUUUUGAUUUUUGAUAGCAUAUAGUAUUAGAGUUCAUUCCUAUCAGUUUGUGGUUUGUUGAACCUUCAAUCAUCAAUAUGAAAAUAGACAAUUUGGGUGCAAAUUUGUGGCCAUAUAAAUAUAUCUCAAUCAUGUCAAUUUCAGUAAUCCUCCAAUGCUAAGUGCUCUUGUUUUAGAAUUUGGGAUUAAUUUUUUCAUGACGCAUCAUAAUAAUAUAUAUAAACUUCGUACAAAUCUGUAAGUCUAGAUAUUAGUGAGACACACUGAUGAAUUAGGUUUCUAUGAUAUUUAUAAUGGGAAUGAAGACAAAAUCACACGCACGCCUCAAUUAGUUUUUUUAUUUAUUUCACAGAUGGAAUAUUACGAGCCAUUUGAUACAUUAUAUUUAACAGUCGAGAUUUGGAGUACAUUACACCUAGUCUUAUGACUUACACCUAGUGUCAACGGAUCCUAACUCUACAAAGAAAUCCAAUAAUACAGCUCAUGGUGCAGAGGAGAACAUGUAGAACCAAAAGGACCAUAAUAUUUAUUAUUAUGAAAAAAACAAAUAUAAAUAAUACAAUAACGGUGUGGUAAUAUAGUUUUUAAAAUGUAAAAGAAUAAGCUUCAUGCAAAAGAUUGUAAUUUGUUUUUUCUUUAGGAUAUUAGGACACAAGACUGUUCCACAACCACAUAUUAUGGAAGAAGAAAUACUAUCGAAAGUUGAAAGAAUAAACUUCAUGCAAAAGAUUGUUAUUUGUUUUUUCUUUAGGAUAUUAGGACACAAGACUGUUCCACAACCACAUAUUAUGGAAGAAGAAAUACGUUGAAAGUUGAAUUAAGACAUAAUUGAAACAAAACUUUAGUAGAAAUUAUAACAAAACUAGGCUAUAUGAUAGAAUAAUAAGAUAUCAAAAGUACCCACGGCCACCCCCCAAAAUAAAAAAUACAUAAGACACAUCAUGAACAUAAGGAGAGGGAAAUACCAGGGCCAAUGUUUUUGUCGAGGGCAGAAUUAUUUUAUCCAAACUACCAAAUUUCCCAAACAUCUUUGCAAGAUCAUUUUCCGUAGCACCAUAUGGCAAAUUUUUCGCUAAAAGUACAUGGUUACUUCUUUUCCUGCCAUCAACUUUACCCUUCGCAUGCUCCUCCAGAGACUCCACGUUCACUCCAGCUUUUCUAAAUGCAUUUUUUGUUUCUUUAAUCCCGUCAGUUUCUGCCAGAGAAUACCGUGAAGCAAGACCAUCAGCUUCUGGAUCCAGAAAAUCACUUUUACUAACACCAUGUUUCCGAGCAGCGUUUUCUACAAUCUAUUAACAUCAACACAUGAUUAAAAUAUUUUAGGAAGUAUAAUCAAUAAGACAAUGAUGUUAAUUCCAUCACUAAAAAACAACAUAUUUGCACCCACCAAUAAAAGGAAAUAUUAUAAUCCCAAGGAAAAAUGAAAUUAUGACUGCAUUAGAAAAUGGAAACAUCAACAGUUUUACCUAUUUUCUCAAUAAAAGAAAGUUGUCAACAGUUUCUCACACCACACACUACAUAAGCCCAAUAUAAAAAAUUAUACUUUUUUAUAUAUGUAUGGAAGCAAAACUUACUAACCCUGGAUAUUUUUUAUAGCAAAGGAAAAAUAUUUGAAAAGCAAGAGGAGAUAAACAAAUAGAAGAAAAAUAGAUCUUUCAAAAAAAAAAAAAAAAGAAGAAAAACAGGUAAUCUUCCAAAAUAAAGUACAACAGUUGGCAAAGUGUGUGCUUGAUCAACCUAGCAGGACUGGACAAACAGAAUAACACAGUACAAGUUAUCAAAUUACAACACAACCUUUUGUUCUAUUUUCUGUUAGGUGAUCAAUGCACAACGCAAGUUGUUUUGAGGAACAUGAGGGGAUGAAACAAUGGAGAAGGUACAUUAGAGAGAGGAGGAACUUCGGGGAAAAUAGCUAUUGAGGAUGAAAUGAAAAGGUUGGGUACUUUAAUACUUUUCGACUUUGUUGUGAGUGGGACAAAAAGCUAUCCCAUGGAUUUAUUACUAAAUAAGAAAAUUUAAGAAGUGUCAUAUCCUUCAAGUUUCGCUUUGUUUAGUUAGACAACCAUUCUUCAAAUCAAACAUAGAAGUAGUUUUGUGCCGUCCAGUCUUUCAUUUUUUUGCAAAUUAAAUGCGCCUAAAAGUUCUUAAGAUUAAAACAGCUGACACACCCAAUCUCUAUGAAUGUUAGAAAUAGCAACCUCAAUGAAAUAUCCAUUGUGAGACUAUAACAGUUCAAUCCUACAGGUUUUGGGGGCAAAACAUAAACUGAGCAUCCCUCUUCAACAAGUGAUGCUCCCACCAUCACCCCCCCCACACUCACACACACCAAAACCUAACCAAAGCACAAGGAAACCCUCCCCAAAAAUAGAAUAGACUUGUUUCAUGAGGAAAUGGUUGCUAACAGUGCAGGAACAAGUGCUUUGCUUCUGAACUAGAGCAACAAAUACAUAAAGAACAACGUCAAAAUUUGAAAUCAUGCCACAAGUUGUGACUUUCUAUAGAAAAUAUGAAGAUAAAAUAAGCAUUAUUCAAAACAUGAAUGAACUAUUGAAAAAUUGGCAACUCAAAAAGGAUGAAAUAAUAGAAUCAUAAAUUUCAAUUUCAUCGUAAGGAAACAUACUGUAUCAGGGCGCAUGAACAGACUAUUCCAUGCUCUGGUAUCUCCUUUAGCUUCAGCUGCUUUCCUUUCUUCUUCUCUUCGUUGUUUGAGAGUUUUAGAGCCUUGGUUCUUGUUCCUACAACAUGUAAACCAUAAAAUGACAAUACAUGAUAAUGCAAAUAUACAAUUUAACAUUGUUGAUGAAGCAAUAUUAUGCCUUACUCUUCAUUGUUUGAAUGUCUUGGUAUAGCUGGCAUAACAUGCAAUAAUCUCCCCUGGAAGAUUGAAUUGUCCGACUCUUCUAGCGCCCUGAUAAACAUUUAUCAUACAAUUGCAUAAAUUACAAUCAACUGUUGACAAGCACCAGCUUAAGCUUUGAGAUAGUAUUAGUGUUGCUAAACGUAGCAGCUAUCUGAAGUCUAGUGAUGUUUUAGCUACAGAUACAAUUCAAUUGACGUGGAAUUAUGCAAUUCCAACCUACUUCGAUUCAUUGCAGAAAACAUUACCAAUAAAUUUCAAGAGGUUCUUAGAUGUUUUAGAACUUUUUGAUAACUCAAACCAAUAGUAAUCCUAUCAUUUUCCAGGAUCCGGCUCCUCUAAAAUGGGCAACUCACUUUACAGGACAAGGCCCAAGUGGAAAAUCCAAAUUUUGAUCAUUUAAAUACAAAAUAUACUAUUUUAGCUAGUUACAAGUAUUAUUUAAAAGAAACAAGAACAAAAACAAGACACUCUUGGAAUUCCCUCCUUAACAACAGAAGAGACAACAAGCAAAAUCCAACCCAUCACAUGUCUACCAAUACACCAAGGUAGUCAAAAUCGAGAUCCUAGGCAAGAUCGGAGAGAGGUCACAAGAUCGUAAAUCGGGAGAUCGUAACACGGAUCGCAAGAUCCUACCAAAUUCACAAAUCGACAUACCUAUGUGUAUGCAUAAAAAACCCUUCAGAAUACCUUAAUUACUUGAUGAAAAACAAAUAAAUUAUUUUCUUUUAGGACACCUUAUUAAUUAAAAAUAAUAUAACAUAAAAUAUUUUAUUUUAUUAUUAAUUUUUUUUACGGGAAUUUUACUGUGUUUAUGUGUAUGGAUUUUUGAUAUCACAUUAUUAGUUAUUAAUUUUUUGAAAGAAUUAUUAGUUAACAAAAAAGAAAGGAAGUUGUAAAAGUAGUAGAAAAAAAAGUGUGCAGCAAACAAAACAAAAUACAAACGUAAAAAAAAAUACCUCAGCGUAUAACAAAAAAACACAAGACAACACGACAAAAAAAAAAGAAAAAGAAAAAGGAAACAUCGCGCAUGUGCCUUUCACGUGUUGUAUUUUAGGGAUUUAGAAACAACGUCGUUUUAAGAAAACAGGUUGUAUAUCCGACCCGGAAACAACAACUCUGCACAGCAUGAACAGCAGCAGCCGACGCGUACCAUUUCAUAUUUUUCACGAUCUUCUGCGGCGAUCCUUACCGCAUCCAUCAGAUUACGAUUCCAACCACACCCCAGCACGCCAAGGGGUGACAAGAUCAUAAAAUCGUACAAUCCUACGAGUUGGAUCACGAUUUUGACUACCUUGCAAUACACCCUUAAAUAGACAAUGGAUGGACAUUAAAAGACUGAGAAGAAUCCUUAGAGACAUGAACAAUUCACAAAAGCCAAAUACAAGACAAAGGAAGCAUAGGUGACACAACAUCAUAAAGUAUUUUGCUCCUCAAUUCUCCCAGAUCCUCUAAAGCUAAUCAAAUGAAAUUGUUUCAAAUUGAAAAGACACACCCUAAAUUAACCAUAACCACUAAAUAAGUAACUCUGCGUGAAGGUGGAUAAGGUUGGGUUUUAUGGAACGGGGUGCCUAAGUCUCCCAUCAAGUAGUAUGGGAUGCUCAGUGAUAUGAAACACGGAUACAGACACGGACACUGCCACGCCGACACCACUAAUAAUUUAACAAAAUUUCAUGAUUCAAUGUAAUAAUAUGUGUCGGUGUCAUAUCGGUGUCGGACACGGCGCAAGUCUGACACCGAGACGCAUGUCUGACACCGAGACGCGCCUAAUCCGAGGAGUAGUGUUAAAGUGGAUUGAUUCCCUCUUGAUGAUAGCUAGCUUUCAAGGGAAGGUUCACCAAGUGCUUGGAUUGGACAAAAGAUUAUUUAUGCCUACAUCUGCAACCUGAAGAUUCUUUAAAAAAAAUGACUUAAUGCUUCAAAAGCAUUCCCUCACAAAUUCUACAACUCAACCAUAAGCAAAAAGAAAGAUUUACAAUAUAAUAGUUGGUAUAAAUUAAGGUGAGACUAAAGUUUCUAUCCAUCUAGUUGUUACCUGGCUGCAAACUCUGGAGCUGAAAAAUGAAUAUAAGCUAUUCCUUUGGAUCGUUUAGUAUCCUUAUCAACAACCAAAUGAGCCUGUGAGACACUGCCAAACUGACUGAAAUGCUCUUCCAAUUCCUCCUCACUGCAACAGAAUAACAAUAAAAAUAUAAAACCAACUAGAAAUAUAUAAAAUAUUAAGGUCAAUUGAAAUUAACUUGCAGAAGACAUUCAUUCUUGUUGAAAAACAAUAACAUGAAAAGUAGGCAAAAUAAUAUGAAACAUGCAUCCAUAAGAUAAUUUGAGAAAUUACGUGGUCGAAUAUGGCAGAUUACGGACAAACAGUCGACACGGCUCAGAAACUCCUUUCUUAUCUUCUGGAUUUGAUAAUUGCCCCUCUUCCUCAGUUGCAUUCACUUGAGACUUAUCAUUGGCAACAUCCUUUCCAACGGUAUUUUUUUGGUCUUCUAGAUCUAACUCUUGAGCACCACUUCUUGGGGUUGUUUCAGAAGGGUUAUUACAACGAUUUUCUUCAUGUUCAGUAGCAUGACUAUGUUUAUCUUUGUCAUCGUCGUCAGAAGACGCCGAAUCACUGCUGUCAUCAUCACUGCUUUCAGAAUCAGACCACUCCGUUGUCACUUUACUCUUGAAAUAAUCCAUAUCAGAAAUUACUCCAUCAUGCUUAAUAUCACGCGACUUGUCGGAUUUAGGGUUAUUUGGUAACUCAUCUACAUGUGAGUCGCUUAAGAUAGGAUGGUUUGCAAUUAAUGUACUUUCGGUCUCCUUAUUCAGUGUUGGUUGGUUGUUACCAUCAUUGGAUACAACUGAAGUAUCAUUUGCCCACAGCUUAGACAUUGCCCGAGGUUGCAUGACCUGAAGAAAAUCUUGAAGCUUUGGGUCAUCAAUGUCCAUAGAAUUGUCUUCAUGUUCCUUAGCUCUAGCAUGAUUGCUAACAUCUGUGGUGAUCACUUUAUCGUCCUUUUUUGUUGAAUGUCGACUCCACGGACGAGGAAGAUUUGCAUCACCAAGUUUUUGAGCCACCUGGUUGGUAGAUAAAAACAUGGUCGAGCAUUUUUAAUGGCUCUCAGUUUCAGUAAUAUGAUAAAUAAUAUAAUAGUGUGAAAGAAGUUAAGAAAAAAUAAUGGCAUAAACAACCGACCUCACAAGUAAUUGCUUGCGUGUCAAGGUAAGAUUUAUUAAAAUAUUUAAUCGCUGCCUGAGCUUCCUGGUCUGUACGAAAUCCGAUAAAAGCAAAUUGGCGACUUUUCCCGUUUCUGAGUUAACCAGUAAACAACACAAAGUUAAAAUUCAAAACAAGUGUCCAUGAGGAUUGGAAUAAAGAUUUUAUGACUUUAGGAAAGAAACAAUACUUUGUACGCAUAAGCUUGACAUCAGUUAUUUCUCCUUUCCUAGAAAAUUCUUGUUUUAGUCGAUCCUCUGCAACAUAUUUAGGGAGAUUCUUCACGCAUAUCCUGGACCUGGAAACACAAAAUAUCAUUUUUCUAUGAUUUUCUUAAACUUCCUCAAACUACGAAUUCCAAUGCCACAUUUGAACUUACAUGGCUCCUUCUAGUAUAAUUGCACAGUUGCAGUUGAGUAUAGUAGACAAAACUGGCAGUGAAUGUGUCUGUAGCAAAUAAAAGAGUCAAUUAUUAUACAACACAGAUUCAUUACAUAGAAUUCAGAAUUUCCAUUGAUAUAAAUAUCCUUUUCUCACUAUAAUCUAACAAGUAAACGAUAAUAAGCAUUUUUAUAAUAUCAUAAGCGAGUAUUGAAUAAGCACUUAUGAAUAAUCUAUUUCUACUGAAAGAGGAUAAAAUAGUCAAAUUGUUAUUGUAUAAGUCAUAAGUUACAAGCUCAGAUAAGUCAAUUCAAAGUGCAUAAACACAAGUAGAUGAAAUAAACUUACGGUUCAAGAAGGCGGAAUUCAGGAAAGGGAGAGAGAGAGAGAGAGAGAGAGAGAGAGAGAACGGUGCAGCUAUGUUCUUCGCGUGGCUAGGUCUGUUGAAAAAGAUAACAAAAUGGGUCGAACUGAAUCGGGUACUUUUAACCCAGAUUCUCGAGGUAGAUCGAUCCAACCCAGCCCACAUGGGUGUAAUGAGGAAAUUUUACCCUAUACCCUUACCUCUAUACUUUCACCCCUGCAAUUUACCAAAAAUUCUAAUUUUAUCCUUUUUCCAAUUUUCCAACUUCAGUUCACCCCUACCUACCAUUUUUUCCGAACGAAAAGGUAAACUGGACACCAAACUUGAGCGUUUCCAAACACAAACUUAUAAGCAGUUACAUUGUUUGCCUUUUUCAAUUAACGAAAGACAGAAAAACCCAAAAGUUGUUUUCCACUUUUCAAAUUAGAAUUACAUGUUCUGUUGAUAGCAAGCAAAAAAGGGGAGCCUCUUUUUUUUCAAUCCUCCGAUCAAUUCAAUUGAAGAGUGAGUGAGUGGAUUGUAAAAACUGAAAAACAAAGCGUGAAUGAAUUUUACCAUAUUCAUAUUGAAAUCUGAAUAUUAUUCCGGCAGAUUUUGUUUUGAUUUGAAUGGAUAUUUUUAAAAGAGAAAUCAAAUGAAAAUAAGAGAAGAAAUUAAGAGUUUAUGAGAAUUGGAAUUGUAAAAUAAUUAGAUUUAAUAGAUAAUAAAUAUGAUUAUGAACAAACAGAAAAUGAGAGAUUCAAAAAGAUUGUUACAUGAAAAGUAGAAAUCGAAAAGAAAAAUGAAUGAUGAAUGUUGGAAUACCAUUGGGUUUCUAGGGAAGAAAAGGAAGAAGAUCCGUAGCAAACCGGAAAGCUUGAAAAAAUUGAGAAAAAUAUAAUUAAUCUGGAUGCUCUUAUGUUUAUAUAGGAGGGUAUAAUAGGAAGUUUGUGUAAAAUGUUGGGGUGAAAGUAUAGAUGUAGAGGUAUAUAGUAAAAUUUCCUCAUUGCACUUGCGUCAUCAUUUUGAAAAUUUUAUUUUCUAGAUUUUCGUUUUUUAUUACAAUUUUUAGAUUUUCUUUACUAUUAUAUUCAGUUUUUGAUGUUUAAAAAUUCAUAUUUUACUCAUUCUUUUUUUAAAAAUUCUAAAUUUUUUGGUAGAGUUCUUUUUAUAGUGUUUUAAUCAUGUCUGCAAACAAAAUUGAGAUUUUCAAGAUAAUGGCAAUAGCUCUAAUAUUGUUGGCAAUAGUUUCCAGCGUUAAUAUGUCUUCACCCCCUGUAAUUUGGACAAGUUCCGGUUUAUCCCCUGUAAAAAUAAAAGUUUAGAUUCCAACCCUAUCAUAUGAAGAUUCUUCACAAAACACCCCUAUAAUAUUAAGAUUCUCCACAAAACACCCCUGACCCCAUGCAGACGUUGAUGUGGCACGCCACUGUGUAAUUAUUUUAAUUUUUUUUUUAAAAACCUGACACAUGUGUAAUGGACACUGACUGUAUAAUUAUUUUUAUUUUUUUAAAUGGUACACGUGGCAUUUGUGAUUUAAAAAAAACAAAAAAAACAUAAAAAAUUAAAUAAAUUCUGGAAAAAUUAAUAAAAACGAAAAAUAUUCUGGAAAAUAAAAAAAAAUAACGAAAAAAUUAAUUAAAAUAAAAAAUAUGAUUAAACAAAUUAAAAAAUUCUGGAAAAUUUAAUAAAAUAAAAAAUAAUCUGAAAAUUUUAAUAAAAAUAAAAAAGAAUCUGGUAAAAUGAAAAAAAUUUGGAAAAAUUAAUAAAAAUUUAAAAAGUUCUAGAAAAUUUUAAAAAAUAAUAAAAAAAUCUGGAAAAAGUUAAAAAUAUGAGAAAAAAAUAUAUAUUUCAAAAAAUUUAUAUUUUUGGAAAAUUCAGGAACUUAAUAUAUUUCGAAAUUCAUAAAUAUAAUAAGAAAAUGCAUUUUCUUUUUUUAAAGAAAAAGUUCAGAUUUUUCUUUCGAAAUUAAAAAUUUUGUUUUUUUUAUUUUUUAUACAAAAAAUAAAAAUAUUGGAAAAUAUUUCAAUAAUUAAAAAAACAUAACAUUAGAUCAUGAAGAAUAGAAGUAAGGGCUUGUUAUUCAAUAGUAUAACAUGACUUAUAUACCGGUGUGACGGUGUCAAUCAAAAUCCACUGUAUCUUGUUAUUCAUCUAGAUUAUAUUUUCGAAUAAAAUAAAAUUCUAGAAAUAAAUUUUCAUAAUCAAAAUAACUAUAUAAUAUUAUAUUUUCGAUUUUUUAUAAUUUUAAUUUAAUUCAGAAUUUUUUUAUAUUUUUUGAAAAUUUUGAUAUAUAUAUAUAUAUAAAUUUUUUCCAUAAUUUUUUAUUUUUUUGAACUUUUUCCAGAUUUUUUUUUCGUGAUUUUUUUCUUUAAUUUUUUCAGAUUUUUUUUUAUUAAAUUUUCUAUUUUUUUUCAUUAUUUUUAAUAAUUUUUUCAGAUUUUUUUUUUUUAAAAUACAAAUGUCACGUUUACCCUUUAAAAAAAAAAUACAGUCAUCACGCCACAUAAUCAGAUUUGCACAGUCAGCAUGCCACGUCAGCAAUUAUGCACAGUCACAUAGGUCAGGGGCUAAAAUCAAAUAAUCUUAUUUUACAGGGUUGGAAUCUAAACUUUUUUUUUACUGGGAGGUAAACCGGAACUCGCCUAAAUUACAGGGGGUAAAUACAUAUUAACCCUGAUUUCAAAUGUUAAAAGUGAAGUUAGGCAUACUAUACCAACAAAUCAACGCCCAUUUUGUGAUCUUAGUUUGCACUGGUAAACUAUACAUGUGGAUGAUGAUGGUGGCAAUGAUGAGGGCACAAAAACCACCACCAUGGGCAUGGGCACAGUCACAGACACGAAUAUAAACAUAGACGUCGCCAUACCACAGAGGUGAUAGAACAUGCACAUACAUAAUCGAGAGAAAGAUUAGAAUGAUCUCUACACACUCACACUUAGAGAGGAAACUACAGAGGAAUGAUAAAACUCUUCUAUUAUUGAAUAUGAGAGGUAUGAGAUGUUUGCUAUACAAUCUAUAUCAACUGAAUACAAAAGCCAAGUAUUUAUAGGCUAAGUUGAGUAACUUGCACUACAAGCCACUAACAAACUAACCAACUAAUUAGUUACUUACUAACUAACUAACCAAUAAACAUAGUUGGAUUUAUCCUCUACUAACUAACAUCAGAAUAUGAAUUAUACUUCAACACACCCCCUUAAUUCAGAUUCUACUAACAUCUUAAAUUGGAACAAAACUAAAAUCACGAGGCUUUUUCUUCUCAAGCCUUGCUACAUCAUUCAUACUGCUACUAGCUUGAUUCUUCAGAAUCUACUUGUGCUUCUGAUAAUGAAUGUGAAUCAGCAUCUCUUGCUUCUAACUAUUGUAGAAAACUGAACUUUCUGCUCCAAUCCUUAUUCCUUGAACACACUUUGAUAACCUGAAUAUGCCAUCAAUUCCACGCAUAAAAUCAACACCUUCUUGUGCUAACUCGGUCACUUUUUCCUCAUAUGACUGAACAAACGCUUUCAUAGCUGAUUGUGUAAUCCACUUGAACGUCUUAAUCACACAAUCACCUUCAUCACUUGAAACAACAGCACCCAUAUCCAUUUUUUAUGCAUAAUUCGAUCUAUCUCUCUUGGUAGUGAUAGAACCCCUCUUUCUUGGAUUCUUUAGCCUCUCCGGCAUAAACCUCACAACCAAGACUGAAUUCUCAAGUGAAUAACAACGAAACAUCAUAACAUGAAUUCUUUGUUUAACAUUGCAACCUCCUUGCAAUUCUUCAUAAAACUGAACAAUACUUAAAAUUAAAUAUGAACAAGAAUAAACGUUUUAACCUUGUUCUUCUUCUUCGGUUUCUGAACCAGUUUCUUGAUUUUCAUUAUGUUUUCCCUCUAUCUCCAUGUUUCUCUCUUGAUCACUUCUUUCUUCUUCAGCUCCUUGUAGAGCUUUGUUUGAAACAGCUCCUCUUUGAGCUUUCCACGCCUUAUUUGCACUUUGGGUAGAAGAAUCUACACUUUUGGUAGAAGAAAUUAAUCCAAUCUGAAUUCACCUUAUCCAUACUUUUAUGGACCAAAACCAGAGCCUUAUUAUCUCUUUCUUCUGAAUUCACUUUAUCCACACUCAUGGAUCUUGAAAAGAGCUUUUUUUAUCUCCUUUCAUGGAUUUCUCGCAGGAAGCCUCUCUUCCUCUUUUUGAAUACCACUUUGGAUCUUUUCUAGCAAUAUCUGCAAACCAAAGAUUUCUUGUAUCCUCACUACCCACUUCUCCCAUUUCUUGACUUGAGAAAACUCCUUUUCAAAAGCCAUUAUUGACACCACAUGUAUUAAUAACCAAGUGCCAAUCUCAUAUGCAUAAACCAUUACCACAUCUGCCUUGUUGUUUAGUUGAUAGUGAAUUGCAUUCUCUUUGCGGAAUCUAUCCUUGAAACCCCAUGGAUCAUGAACCAGAGGCUCUGAUGCCACUGAUAGAACAUGCACAUACAUAAUUGAGAGAAAGAUUAGAAUGAUCUCUACACACUCACACUUAGAGAGAAAACUACAAAGGAAUGAUAAAACUCUUCUAUUAUUGAAUAUGAGAUGUGUGCUAUACAAUCUAUAUCAACUGAAUACAAAAGUUAAGUACUUAUAGGCUAAGUUGAGUAACUUGCACUACAAGCCACUAACAAACUAACUAACUAGUUAGUUACUUACUAACUAACUAACCAACAAACAUAGUUGGAUUUAUCCUCUACUAACUAACAUUAGAAUAUGAAUUAUACUUCAACAAGAGGAAGAAAAUUGUUGUCGAUAAGCUAGGAAAGUGGACAACCAAUGUGUUUGUGAACUUCUUGUUCAUUUGCCACCAUUCCUUGUUAGGCCUUUACAUCUCUACACACUCAACAUUGGUGAAGACUGCGAGAUCACUUGUCCAAUAUGAUUCACAAACUUGCAUCAAUUAUGAUGCAGGUUAUACAUUUAUUAAUUAUUAUUAUCCUAUGCGCGUGUUUGUUUGGAUUUUUUUUUCAAGGUUUUACAGGGUAAUGUUAUAGUAUGUCGCAAGAAAACAAAAGGGUUUGUAGUUAUUGUUUGUGGUUCCUAUAGUAUAUUUAGCUUGUGCUACUGUUUAGUCCCAUACACACAGCCAUUAGUAGAGGUUGUAUGCAAUGCCUCCAUAUAACUAACUUUAUUUAUUCAUGAAUUUAUGUUUGAUAUGAGUUGAAUAAUUAUGUACUGAUAUUAGCUAAUUAUUUUAAAAUAAUUCCAUAUCUUUCACGCCAUUUUCAGAAGAGGACCUCGUGAGUUGGAGGACCAAUUUGUGUGAGUAAAUUGUUUCAUUAUGCCUGGGUCCCUUUACUGAAUUCAUUAGCUUUUAAGUGUAGCGAAUAAUGCUUUUCAUAUUGUCAUGAGAAUUGAUAAAUCACCAGUAGCAAUUUUGCACCAUCAGUGUCUUGAAUCUUUUUAAACAAAAAUCUCGUUUUAGUAUAAAUAAAAUUAAUUCCUAAAACUGUUAUUUUUAACCAUACAGGAAGGCAAACUCAAUAUUCAUGACCAUAUAAUUUUACUGCAUCUUUUAAACAUGGUAAUAAAUAGUAAUAAUUACAAGAACACCAAGCAGCGGCAAAUUAAACAAUUUACUACAAUCUACAAAAUUGCCAUCCCUGAACUUUGGGAUAUAUACAGAAACCUCCAAUUUUUGAAAGAAGCACUAAUGAAACCUUUCAAACUUCAUAUUUCUUUCAUCUAACAUACUGAUGGGUGAUGGCCUUCCUUUUCUUGGAUAUCUUGGUAUCUUGAAAUCCACUAUGUUCAUUCAACUGAGCAGCAGUUCGAGCCCGCUUUUCCUCCAAAGUCUCACGGACAUUCGCGCUCUCUAUCACCUGAAAAUAAUAAGGACCGCUGUUUCUCAACUAUUUGCAAUCUAAUUUGAAAGUAUAUACACCACCCAAAACAAGUGGAAGGGUAGAGGAUUCCAUAAACAGAAUUUCCCAAAUACAUCACUGAGUUUCACUUACCAGAUGUCUUCCAUACAAGUGGGUACUUGAGAGUGCUGUAAGUGCAUUUUGUGCCUCCUGCUGAGUAACAUACUCCACAAAAGCAAAUCCUCUAUGAUUUCCAAACUUCAUUGGUAAUCUUAAACUUUUAAUCUGCACGGUUUUCAAGUCAUCAAACAUGAGUGAAAGGAAAACUAUUAAAUACUUGUAGUAUACAGCUAAAUGUUCAUAUUUUGGCUGAGAGUGAAUAUUUGCUAGCAAUUGUACUAAAAUUAUCAUUUUAAUUAUCACCUGGCCAAACGGGCUAAAUAAUUGUCUCAGAUCCUUCUUUAUUGCCUCAAAAACAACAUUUUUCACAUGCAACGUAGUUGAACUCUUAUCUUUCUCAACUUUCUUUUGUACACUUUACCAUCAUUCUUGACAUGACAGAGUAGUAAAAUAAGAGCAUGACCGUCCAAAACAGUCCCCUAUACCCAAACCAAAAAGAUUAUUAAAAAAAAGCCUUUGUAAAACAACCAUAACUAUAAUUAGGAUUUCAAUCAAAUACAUAUAGCAUGCAUCUUUUGAUUCAAAUGUGUAAUUGUAAAUACCUGUAAAUCAUUGCAAACACUUGUAGCAGUCUCUGUGGAGUCAAACUCAACAAAUCCAAAUCCCAUAGAAACAUUUUUCCCAUUUUUCAAAUGCUUCUUCUUCACCUAUUUUAGAAAGCAGCGAAACAAAAAAAAAAAAUGAAAAAUAGCCAAGUCAUCAAAAGUAAAAUGAGUCACCUAGCACUUAAAUCCAUGUACCUUGACACUCAAAAUCCGCCCCUCCUUCAUGUGUUCCCUGAUAUGUUCCCUCAAACCUUCAUCUGUUGUCUUGAAAUUUAGGUUCUUGACAAACAGGGACCGAGCCUGAAGCAUGAUAGGUUCAUCAAAUGAUAGAAGAGCAAUAAUUAAGGAUUAUUUAGCAAUGGUUAAUGUACAAAAUUUCAAAAUAAAUAUUGACUGAAUUGCAUAGUAAUCUGCGGAGGACAAAAAUAGAGUGGU
rnacentral:lncRNA from 1 species